rnacentral:lncRNA from 1 species
GAUUUUUGCAUUUCAUGCUAGCUAUAGGGUUCAUUUGCUUGAGAGUCCCCUUAAAUAUGGGAUAUAGACGAGUGUGGCUUUUUCUAAGCCUUAGCACGCUUGUAUUCCCUCUAUAAAAGGGCAAAUUAAGUCACGAUUUAGGUCUCCCCGUACCCAAUAUGCAUGAAUUCCCUAGGCUCAUGCAUUUUUUAAUCCACUUUAUCAUUUUAUACUUUCACUUCUCCUCUCAUUUGCACACAUACACCUUUAUCCCUUCACUUGCACACGAACACUUCUCCUCUCAUUUGCACACGUACACCUUUUUAUCCCUUCACUUGCACACGAACACUUUGUCUCAUUUGCACAUAUGCAUUUUUUAU